ensembl:lncRNA
CAUGUCCCAAUAGAAGAUUUUAAAGAAUUGGCCCUAUUUUUUUACACCACUUACAUUUUCCUUACACACCAUUUCAUACAUUUUACUAAACUUAUUAUCAUUUAAAUAAGGCAAUGUUAUAAAUCUCAGCAGUCCUUAAAAUGAGAUUCAGAAGAAAACUUUUUAAUAGUUGGCUGAGAAGGUGUGAUGAUACAGAGGAAAUGUGUAGUUAAAUGGAAUUAACUCUGAAUAACAAUAACAAAAUAUUCGCUCGUCUUGAGAUCCAAAUGAAAAUUCAGUCUACUCUGAGAUGAGGACAGUUCUACAAGUUGACAGUUAGUCACAUUUUAAUUUCUUUCUGUAAUUUUGGACAAAGAAGAGGCAAUAUGCUAAUUCACUUGAUUAUUUAACUGGAAAUGUCUCUUGUCUACAUGGUCUGGACCAGUCUAUGUGACCUAUGCUGAGAUUGACUUCAGAAAGAUGGUCAAAACCCAGAAGAAGAAGUAAGAAUGGGCCUCCCUCUUUACAUCUUUUCUCCUUUCAUAACCUCAUAUGUCUUUAACCCAUGUUGAAUAACUGGAUAAUAUUCUGUAUACAACAGAUACAUUCUUCUUCUGUUUAAUUCCCAUCUACCACAGAAUCAACACAGCCGCCAGAGUCAGAAUAAGUCAAUUCUCCAAGAAAGACAGUCACAGUCCACAGUCCUUGAGGGAGAUGAACACAAUCAGUUGAGGAGCAGGAACAACCAGGGAAUGUGAACUUUGCACACACACUCUUUCUGUAGCUGCAGACAUUACACAGAAAUGUGACACACCCAUCACACACCCAGUCACGUAUGGGCCACACACACAGACAUAUGUUAUUUUAAAUGACAUGGGGUAAUGAUAAUAGGGUAAUGAUAAUAGGGUAAUGAUAAAAGGGUAAUGAUAAUGGAUGUUAUUUUUUUAAAUGACAUGGGGUAAUGAUAAUAGAGUAAUGUUAAUGGAUUUAUUUUUUAAAUGACAUGGGGUAAUGAUAAUAGGGUAAUGAUAAUGGAUGUUAUUUUUUUAAAUGACAUGGGGUAAUGAUAAUAGGGUAAUGAUAAUGGAUGUUUUUUUUAAAUGACAUGGGGUAAUGAUAAUAGGGUAAUGAUAAUAGGGUAAUGAUAAUGGAUUUUAUUUUUUUUAAAUGACAUGGGGUAAUGAUAAUAGGGUAAUGAUAAUAAGGUAAUGAUAAUGGAUAAAAAAUGUUUUUAACGACAUGGGGUAAUGAUAAUGGGGUAAUGAUAAUGGAUUUUAUUUUUUUUAAAUGACAUGGGGUAAUGAUAACAGAGUAAUUUUUUUUAUCUUUGACUUCUUAAAUCAUUCAAAUAACUAAAUGAAAUAUCUGUAAACUAAUUUCUCAAAAUAGAAGAAUUAUCCAGUUUGUUUUCUUGCAAUGGUCUUCAUUUUCACAAUAUCGUUGCUUUUUCUUUUUAAAACAACUGUCAUUGACCAAAGUGCUGUCCAGGACAAAAUGGAAUCAGUUAAAACGUACUCUGAGCUUCAUAAAAAAAGUGAUUUUUACACUGACAAAAAAUAAAUGAAAAUAACUGGGCAUAGUUCACAAAACUCUAAGACAGAACUGUCAAUUGUCAUGCAGGUGACUUUAUGAUCGUCUUCACUCGUGCUGCUGCUUGAAGGGAUGCUGCUGCUUUUGAUGCCUUGAACAUAACUGGUUCAUCUGAAGCCAGCUCCCGUUAGGAAAUUGGUGCUUAGCUAGGUUCAAAUUUUCAUUGCAAUGGAACAUUGUUACAAAAUAAUGCAUGUUUCACAGAAAGAUGUUUGUCUGGAUUUGACAUCUUCAGCGUAUAAUGUUCUGUGGAAGGGAGUGUCAUGGAAAUAAAGUACAUUCUAGUGAAUCCCAAACAAGCCCCACUGUCCUAUGCACGUUAUUUCAGUGCCAUCCGCAGCACUUUGUCGUUAAUAUAGCUCUGAGUGGUGUCUACGUGUUCAUUUGGGAUUGUACCUGUGUUGGCAUGAAAAUUGUAGAGGGGAUCUGGGAUUGAACUUUGGUUGUCCAACAGGGGAGAGAUUUAAUCAAAACACUGAAAGCAAACCUGGUGACUGUUUUUUGCAGAGCAUUCACAUGUUCGUUGUGCAUAACUGUCAAUGUGAUAAUGUCAUUGUCAAUAACAAUCAGUGCAAUCACCACACCUGAAUGUGUUACCAAAUUGUGUAGCUUUUCCAAUAAAAUGGGUGGGUAUGAAAAGGCAUGCAAUUGCAAUGUGUAAUGAAGCACAAUGGCUGCUUUGGCGCUGUUGGAAGAUUUGGCGAAUGGAAGAAUUUGGAGAGAUCAAAUAAUACCAGCAAGUCGUUGAGCUCCGGUGUCCCUUUCCCCGCCUGUGGCACAAACACUUUGUCUGUGUAAUGCGAUAGGCUUUUAGGCCUCCACCUCAAUGUCACACCACUUCUUUUUAAUAUCUGGGAUGGUCCAACCUUCUGAACCUGCCGCAUUCACCACAUGCUGCCACUCUAACGCCUUUUUGGCAUUUGUAAUGCCCACACUGUCAACCAAACAAUAUAUUUUGUUGUUGUUCAACCCCUACAAGAACUUCAAUUUCACACUAGGUGAAAUUCCUUUUUUUAGGUUUUAUGUUGGGAUUUGCCGUCGCUGCGGUAAUGGAGUCAGUAUCGAUUAAUAUUAAUUCAGGGUGUUUCAGUGACCAUGUAUGGGCAAUAAUGGGUCAUAAACAUGAAACCAUUAAAAUACAAUGGCAGUAAUGAUUUUAAAUAUAAAACAUGUAAUUAGGUAAUACAACAUAAAAUACGAUAAUAAAGCUAAUAGUAUUCUCUAUCUUACAGUAAGAGUUAUUUCAACAUAGGAAUUAAUAAUUUUUGCAUUGUAUUGCAUUUUAUGCUGAUAUUCUCAUUAACGCAAUGCGUCCAGCUCUGUCUGAAUGUAUGUUGUGUUGUAAUUUAAACAGAAUAAAUUAUCCA